GCAAACUUGGUCAUUUAGAGGAAGUAAAAGUCGUAACAAGGUUUCCGUAGGUGAACCUGCGGAAGGAUCAUUAACAAUAUUUAUCCUUAUCCACCUUGUGUGAAUCACUGAAGUGUUUGUUGGCAGGUUUGUAAACAAAACUCUCUCCGCUGGAGAGCUGUUAAUGUGGGGGCGAGUCGCUGAUGUUUCCGCGACCAAAAAGCUCUCGGCCUGCCAAUUUUAUUUUAUAUAACUUGUCUAAAUGCAAAUGUCUGAAAUGUCAUUUAUUUUUAAUAAAUACAACUUUCAACAACGGAUCUCUUGGCUCUCGCAUCGAUGAAGAACGCAGC
rnacentral:misc_RNA from 1 species